AUACGGAGGGGGCUAGCGUUGUUCGGAAUUACUGGGCGUAAAGCGCACGUAGGCGGAUUAAAAAGUUAGAGGUGAAAUCCCAGGGCUUAACCCUGGAACUGCCUUUAAAACUAGUAGUCUAGAGUUCGAGAGAGGUGAGUGGAAUUCCAAGUGUAGAGGUGAAAUUCGUAGAUAUUUGGAGGAACACCAGUGGCGAAGGCGGCUCACUGGCUCGAUACUGACGCUGAGGUGCGAAAGCAUGGGGAGCAAACAGGAUUAGAUACCCGAGUAGUCC
rnacentral:rRNA from 1 species